rnacentral:rRNA from 1 species
UAGUAACGGCGAGUGAAGAGGGAAAAGCUCAAAUUUUGAAUCUGGUGUCUUUGACUCCCGAGUUGUAAUCUAGAGAAGUGUUUUCCGCGUUGGACCGUGUACAAGUUCCCUGGAACGGGGCGUCAUAGAGGGUGAGAAUCCCGUAUAUGCCACGGACUGCCAAUGCUCUGUGAUACACUCUCAACGAGUCGAGUUGUUUGGGAAUGCAGCUCAAAAUGGGUGGUAAAUUCCAUCUAAAGCUAAAUAUUGGCGAGAGACCGAUAGCGAACAAGUACCGUGAGGGAAAGAUGAAAAGCACUUUGGAAAGAGAGUGAAACAGUACGUGAAAUUGUUGAAAGGGAAGCGUUUGAAGUCAGUCACGUCUGUCGGAAUUCAGCCUGGCUUCUGCCUGGUGUACUUUCCGUCCGACGGGUCAGCAUCAAUUUCGACCGAGGGAAAAAGACGUGAGGAAUGUGGCUGUCUUCGGGCAGUGUUAUAGACUCGCGUUGUAUGUCUCGGUUGGGAUUGAGGAACGCAGCGCGCCUAUUGGCCGGGGGUUCGCGCCCCUCGGUACGCGCUUAGGA